UUAUGUGUCUACCCCCCGACACACCCCUCCUCUCUCCUGGCUUUCUAACUGGCUCCUAGCUUUUGCUUUCGUUCCGGCCUUUGGCUCCUCGCAAGAUGGCGGUUGCUGUGGAAAAGCUGAUUUUCAACGCGUUUCAAUAUUGCUUUUUAGAAUCACUGAAAGAAAGUAAAAAGAUAGAAAACGGAAGAAGGGAAAAUGAAAUAAUAAUAAUAAAAAAAAAGAACAAGAAUUGAUCUAGGGAGCAGCCUACUAAACAGAAGUGGUCUAUUUUGCAGAUUAAUAGUUCCACUUUGGGUAAGAUUGACUCUUUAUUAAAUUUGUAACUAAUCCGUUAAAAAUUAAUUAAGCAUAUCUGUACGCGAAUUUUGUAUAUUAAAGCAUGAAAUUUUAUGUCUUUAACUUAUUAAUGCUUAAUGAAUAUCGUACUGAUUGGAAUAUGACGAAUACGUCCACUAAAAACUUAGUUGUUUGUUUAACGAAACUUUCCACUCCAUCUCUUGUUUUUAGAAAAUUGUUGAUCUUAUUUCCAGGACUUUAUUAUUAGUAAAAUUACAUGUCUAGAAUUAAGAUUUAAGGAAAUAAAACUUGUAGCUCCCUUCUUCGAAGGCAUCAUAUAUAAUUACCAAGUGAAAAUGAGAACACUUUAAAAGUGGCAAACUUAAACCAAUAGUUGCGUUAAAAUCUGCAUAUAACUCGGAGGUAAAUGGCUAAAUUAAAAAAAAAAAAAAAAAAAAAAAAAAAAAAAAAAAAAAAAA